AAAAAAUCUGUGCAUCUCAGUCAUUGCAGAAUACUGUCUGUCUACAGCAGGUGCGAGUUCCAGGUAAUUGUUAUUGCAACAUGGAUUUAAUUUGCUUGGAGGUAGUCUCAUCAUUCAAAUGCUUUGUUGUGUACCUGAGAGCAUUUAGAAGGCCUUCUACACUGUUAGGAGGCUGGUCUUUAAGAACUUUGAUGCAUCCUUUCAUAUCAAUUUUAGAAGUUUUGGCAAAAGCGCCCACCGGAUGCACGUGGUCAUAGAGUAUGAUGACACCCACCAUUACCCUCAGACAGAAUGAUACUGUUUCCUCAUUUGUAAACCUGCUUCUAUAUUCAGGGGUUUCCAGCAUGACCCUACACACACUAGCCAUGGUGCUUAAACAAUCUGUAGUAUUCUCUAUUGGUAAAUUUUUAUUCUCUGACACAAAUUUUGUUGUAGCAUCACUUAAGGUUUUCAACAUUGGCGUUGCUUCAGCAUAAAAUAAAGACAUUCUGUUUGCCAACUCAUUAUUUACUUCAUUUUCUCCUUCUGC
rnacentral:lncRNA from 1 species